UACGAAGGGGGCUAGCGUUGUUCGGAAUUACUGGGCGUAAAGCGUGCGCAGGCGGCUGCUCAAGUCAGGGGUGAAAGCCCAGAGCUCAACUCUGGAAUUGCCUUUGAGACUGAGUGGCUUGAGUACGGGAGAGGUGAGUGGAAUUCCCAGUGUAGAGGUGAAAUUCGUAGAUAUUGGGAAGAACACCGGUGGCGAAGGCGGCUCACUGGCCCGUAACUGACGCUCAUGCACGACAGCGUGGGGAGCAAACAGG
rnacentral:rRNA from 1 species